UACGGGGGGAGCAAGCGUUGUUCGGAUUUACUGGGCGUAAAGGGCGCGUAGGCGGUCAGCACAAGUCAGUUGUGAAAUCUCCGGGCUUAACUCGGAAAGGUCAACUGAUACUGUGCGACUAGAGUGCAGAAGGGGCAACUGGAAUUCUCGGUGUAGCGGUGAAAUGCGUAGAUAUCGAGAGGAACACCUGCGGCGAAGGCGGGUUGCUGGGCUGACACUGACGCUGAUGCGCGAAAGCCGGUGG
rnacentral:rRNA from 1 species